CUUUGCUCCCCUGUGGCACGGGGUCCCAUACCUUCUCUGGCUCUGUCUGUCACUAACACGCAUGCCUGUUAUUUUUCCUCGUCUACCUGCUCUCUUGCCCCUUCUCCUGUCCUGGCUCCUUCCUGGCCCUCUACCCCUGCCUGGUGCCUUCCCCUCUCUCCCUCCCUUCCCCAUCCUGGCAAUCUCUGGACCCAGCCAAACAGAAGCAGAAGUCGACAGAGCACGUGCCCCCCUAUGACGUGGUGCCUUCCAUGAGGCCCAUCAUCCUGGUGGGACCAUCGCUCAAGGGCUAUGAGGUAACUGACAUGAUGCAGAAGGCGUUGUUUGACUUCUUGAAGCAUCGGUUUGAUGGCAGGUAGGACCCUGAGAGUUGACUCUCCACUCGACUGUGGCUCCUUCCUCCCACUUGGGGGUACCCAGGAUGUCUAAAGGGACCACCCUGGGACUUUUAGACAGAGACGAGGGCGGCAGGCCUGGAGUCUGUGAGUGGACGGUAUGUUCUUGCCCACC
rnacentral:lncRNA from 1 species